UACGUAGGGGGCAAGCGUUGUCCGGAAUUAUUGGGCGUAAAGCGCGUGUAGGCGGCCGUGCAAGUCGGGUGUGAAAGCCCUCGGCUCAACCGAGGAAGUGCGCCCGAAACUGCAUGGCUUGAGUACCGGAGAGGAUGGCGGAAUUCCCCAAGUAGAGGUGAAAUUCGUAGAUAUGGGGGAGGAACACCGGUGGCGAAGGCGGCCAUCUGGACGGAUACGUGACGCUGAGACGCGAAAGCGUGGGGAGCAAACAGG
rnacentral:rRNA from 1 species